UAAAAUUGUAAUUUUUUAUUAGUAGGUAUUGCGUACCCGUUUAAAGAGAAUUUUAUAAAAAUAAAAUAUAGAAUUAAAAGGUAGAAUUUUUAUUGUUUUUAUUGUUUCAUAAUAAAAAUUAUAAAAUUUAGGGUUGAAAAGUCGACUUUUAAGAUAUCUGUUUGUUUUGUGAGUUUAUUAGAAAUUUAUAUAAAAAGUAAUUUGUAUAUAAAAAGUAAAAGUUGAAGUAUUUAUUUGUUUAGUUUUAUAACUGUUUAUAAUUAUUUAUUUAAAUUAUUGUUAAAAGAAGUAAAAAUUAUUAAGUUGUUAAUAAUUGAAUUAUUUUAAGAUAAGUAUGUUAAUUAAGUUAUUUAUUAUUUUAUAAUUUAACAAAAUAAUUAAAAAUUUAAUCAAAUGUUUAUUAAAGUCUUAGACUUUUAGAUAAAGUUUGCUUCUGCCCAAUGAUUAUUAUUAAAUGGCAGUCUUAGCGU
rnacentral:rRNA from 1 species